rnacentral:rRNA from 1 species
UGGCUAUGGGAUACUUAGUACGGCGAGUGAGCGGUAAAAGCUCAAAUUUGAAAUCUGGUACUUUCAGUGCCCGAGUUGUAAUUUGUAGAAUUUGUCUUUGAUUAGGUCCUUGUCUAUGUUCCUUGGAACAGGACGUCAUAGAGGGUGAGAAUCCCGUUUGGCGAGGAUACCUUUUCUCUGUAAGACUUUUUCGAAGAGUCGAGUUGUUUGGGAAUGCAGCUCAAAGUGGGUGGUAAAUUCCAUCUAAAGCUAAAUAUUGGCGAGAGACCGAUAGCGAACAAGUACAGUGAUGGAAAGAUGAAAAGAACUUUGAAAAGAGAGUGAAAAAGUACGUGAAAUUGUUGAAAGGGAAGGGCAUUUGAUCAGACAUGGUGUUUUUUGCAUGCACUCGCCUCUCGUGGGCUUGGGCCUCUCAAAAAUUUCACUGGGCCAACAUCAAUUCUGGCAGCAGGAUAAAUCAUUAAGAAUGUAGCUACUUCGGUAGUGUUAUAGCUUUUUGGAAUACUGUUAGCCGGGAUUGAGGACUGCGCUUCGGCAAGGAUGUUGGCAUAAUGGUUAAAUGCCGCCCGUCUUGAACCAACGGACCA